rnacentral:lncRNA from 1 species
AACUCUUGAUGAAAUUUUUGUAGGCUUGUGGUUUGUCGAAGCGGCGAACCACUGACCAAACGGCUGUGAUGGAGGCGGUUGUCUCUUGGACGACCGCCGAGCAUAAUUGGUCGGAUGAUAUGGAGUGUGUGUGAUAGUGGGCUAUAGUGUUAGGAAUGGUGCUGGUCACAGGGUUGAUGAAGAGGGUGUUGUUUUCGCAGUGGAGGUCGUGGUGGUUGGUGAUGGUCGUAGUGGUGGUGUGGUUGAUCCUGUGGAGGAGAAGAGAAGACUUUGGUGGAUUUGGAGGCAUUUUUUUUUUUUAUACUAAUUGUAUAAUACAGAAAAAUAAUUAAAAGAAAAGAAGUAAUGAUAAGAUUUGAUGGAUCUUGUCUUGUUAUAGUUUGAGUGGUGUUAUUAGAAAGGGUUUUGAAGAUGAAG